rnacentral:rRNA from 1 species
GACGUAGGGCGCGAGCGUUGUCCGGAUUUAUUGGGCGUAAAGAGCUCGUAGGCGGCUUGUCGCGUCGUCCGUGAAAACCCACAGCUCAACUGUGGGCUUGCGGUCGAUACGGGCGGGCUGGAGUUCGGUAGGGGAGACUGGAAUUCCUGGUGUAGCGGUGAAAUGCGCAGAUAUCAGGAGGAACACCGGUGGCGAAGGCGGGUCUCUGGGCCGAUACUGACGCUGAGGAGCGAAAGCGUGGGGAGCGAACAGG